UACGUAGGGUGCGAGCGUUGCCCGGAAUUACUGGGCGUAAAGCGCGCGUAGGCGGCUUUGUAAGUUAGAGGUGAAAGCCCGGGGCUCAACUCCGGAACUGCCUUUAAGACUGCAUCGCUUGAAUCCGGGAGAGGUGAGUGGAAUUCCGAGUGUAGAGGUGAAAGUUCGUAGAUAUUCGGAAGAACACCAGUGGCGAAGGCGGCUCACUGGACCGGUAUUAACGCGU
rnacentral:rRNA from 1 species